UACGUAGGGCGCAAGCGUUAUCCGGAAUUAUUGGGCGUAAAGAGCUCGUAGGCGGUUUGUCGCGUCUGCCGUGAAAGUCCGGGGCUCAACUCCGGAUCUGCGGUGGGUACGGGCAGACUAGAGUGAUGUAGGGGGAGACUGGAAUUCCUGGUGUAGCGGUGAAAUGCGCAGAUAUCAGGAGGAACACCGAUGGCGAAGGCAGGUCUCUGGGCAGUAACUGACGCUGAGGAGCGAAAGCGUGGGGAGCGAACAGG
rnacentral:rRNA from 1 species